CGGCGAGUGAAGCGGCAACAGCUCAAAUUUGAAAUCUGGCCUUCGGGUCCGAGUUGUAAUUUGUAGAGGAUGCUUUUGGCGCGGUGCCUUCCGAGUUCCCUGGAACGGGACGCCUUAGAGGGUGAGAGCCCCGUACGGUUGGACACCAAGCCUCUGUAAAGCUCCUUCGACGAGUCGAGUAGUUUGGGAAUGCUGCUCUAAAUGGGAGGUAAAUUUCUUCUAAAGCUAAAUAUUGGCCAGAGACCGAUAGCGCACAAGUAGAGUGAUCGAAAGAUGAAAAGCACUUUGAAAAGAGGGUUAAAUAGCACGUGAAAUUGUUGAAAGGGAAGCGUUUGCGACCAGACUUUUCCCUAGCGGAUCAUCCGGUGUUCUCACCGGUGCACUUCGCUAGGUUAAGGCCAGCAUCGGUUUCUGUAGGGGGAUAAAAGCUUGGGGAAUGUAGCUCCCUCGGGAGUGUUAUAGCCUCUUGCAUAAUACCCUUACGGGGACCGAGGACCGCGCUUUUGCAAGGAUGCUGGCGUAAUGGUUGUCAACGACCCGUCUUGAAACACGGACCAAGGAGUCGAACAUUUGUGCGAGUGUUUGGGUGUUAAACCCUCACGCGUAAUGAAAGUGAACGGAGGUGAGAGCCCUUACGGGUGCAUCAUCGACCGAUCCUGAUGUCUUCGGAUGGAUUUGAGUAAGAGCAUAACUGUUCGGACCCGAAAGAUGGUGAACUAUGCGUGGAUAGGGUGAAGCCAGAGGAAACUCUGGUGGAGGCUCGCAGCGGUUCUGACGUGCAAAUCGAUCGUCAAAUCUGCGCAUGGGGGCGAAAG
rnacentral:rRNA from 1 species